UGCCUACCAAGAUGUUCCACCUGCAAGGUCUACAGAUGCUGCAAAUGCUACAGAAAUCCUUGAGGAAGGGCCUCCCUGAGCCCUUAAAGGUGAGAAUGGAACAUUCUCAGGGAAGCAAACGG
rnacentral:sRNA from 1 species